rnacentral:rRNA from 1 species
GAUGAACGCUGGCGGCGUGCCUAAUACAUGCAAGUCGAGCGAACAGACGAGGAGCUUUCUCCUCUGACGUUAGCGGCUGACGGGUGAGUAACACGUGGAUAACCUACCUAUAAGACUUGGAUAACUUCGGGAAACCGGAUCUAAUACCGGAUAAUAUAUUGAACCGCAUGGUUCAAUAGUGAAAGACGGUUUUGCUGUCACUUAUAGAUGGAUCCGCGCCGCAUUAGCUAGUUGGUAAGGUAACGGCUUACCAAGGCGACGAUGCGUAGCCGACCUGAGAGGGUGAUCGGCCACACUGGAACUGAGACACGGUCCAGACUCCUACGGGAGGCAGCAGUAGGGAAUAUUCCGCAAUGGGCGAAAGCCUGACGGAGCAACGCCGCGUGAGUGAUGAAGGUCUUCGGAUCGUAAAACUCUGUUAUUAGGGAAGAACAAAUGUGUAAGUAAAUAUGCCCGUCUUGACGGUACCUAAUCAGAAAGCAACGGCUAACUACGUG